GUCCACGCCCUAAACGAUGUCUACUAGUUGUCGGGUCUUAAUUGACUUGGUAACGCAGCUAACGCGUGAAGUAGACCGCCUGGGGAGUACGGUCGCAAGAUUAAAACUCAAAGGAAUUGACGGGGACCCGCACAAGCGGUGGAUGAUGUGGAUUAAUUCGAUGCAACGCGAAAACCUUACCUACCCUUGACAUGGAAGGAAUCCCGGAGAGAUUUGGGAGUGCCCGAAAGGGAACCUUUACACAGGUGCUGCAUGGCUGUCGU
rnacentral:rRNA from 1 species